ensembl:snoRNA SNORD7 small nucleolar RNA, C/D box 7
AGGCAAUGAUGAGUGAAGUCUAGUCUGAACUGGUAUUGUCAGAACUUUGGUUUUGACUCUGACCAGGGCGUGAUCACGUAAUCUUCUCUCUGAGCUG